UGAUGCGGUGUUUUGCUGCUCCCUCUGCUUUCAUUAUCGAUGCCGUGCAUGUCACGUUAAGCGGUCAGAGUGUUAUCCUCGGCCAAMUGGAGAAUGAAGCGGCAACGCUGACUCCACACACGGAGGUUGAAGUCGGAUCGUGCCACCUCCCAGUGGUAACCUUUGGAAAUGGCCGUGYAUCACGGUGUCAGCCAAGGCACGAACGCAGUUGCCUUGCCCAGYGUCUGGGUGAACGGUGAUUUUUGUUAUAACUGUCAUCAUUAUGGAAAAACUGUAACAUGAACGCGCUGGAUCCCUUGGCAUGCUUAGACGAUGAAGAACGUAGCGAGCUGCGAAAUGUGAUGUGAAUUGCAAAUCCAAAGCGAUCUCGUGAAUCAUCGAAUCUUUGAACGCACUGCACCGCCCUUUACGGGAGUGGUACGCCCGAAUGAGCGUCAUAUUACUCUUCAGGCUGGUAUUCUCAACUGUUGAAUCAGUAGACRGCUUGUUACUGCACACCACUUUCUAGGAAGUGGAAGAGGUAACAUGGUGUGAGGACACCUUGCUCUGGUUACGAGACYGCAUGGCAAGACAAUGUCGUUAGACCUCUAGUCUGCCGUGUGUCUUUAGAUGCAUUAGCGGACCUGGCACUACUUUACGUCUGUACCGCRGUGUGAUACUGAUGAUCACYGCUGGGAGUAGAGCAUUCCGAUCGCUGCUAACUCGCCUUUGGGCAAACCCCACUGUUCUCAGUGACAUAUGACAAUUGGCCUCACUCGGGUGUGAUGACCCGCUUGAUUUAAGCAUAUUAUUCAGCGGAGGAAAAGAAACUAACAAGGAUUCCCCUAGUAACUGCGAGUGAAGAGGGAUGAGC
rnacentral:rRNA from 1 species